rnacentral:rRNA from 1 species
GAUGAACGCUCGCUACAGGCUUAACACAUGCAAGUCGAGGGGAAACGGCAUCGAAAGCUUGCUUUUGAUGGGCGUCGACCGGCGCACGGGUGAGUAACGCGUAUCCAACCUGCCCAUCACUUGGGAAUAACCUUGCGAAAGUAAGACUAAUGCCCAAUGACAUCCCACGAAGGCAUCCGAAUGGGAUUAAAGAUUUAUCGGUGAUGGAUGGGGAUGCGUCUGAUUAGCUUGUUGGCGGGGUGACGGCCCACCAAGGCAACGAUCAGUAGGGGUUCUGAGAGGAAGGUCCCCCACAUUGGAACUGAGACACGGUCCAAACUCCUACGGGAGGCAGCAGUGAGGAAUAUUGGUCAAUGGGCGAGAGCCUGAACCAGCCAAGUAGCGUGCAGGAUGACGGCCCUAUGGGUUGUAAACUGCUUUUAUAAGGGAAUAAAGUGGGUCACGUGUGACUUUUUGCAUGUACCUUAUGAAUAAGGACCGGCUAAUUCCGUG